GGUACCACACUCCAAGGAUGCUCCAAAACCAGUGAAGGUACUCUCGCUCUUUCUCUCUAGAAUUGUGUUAAUAUCCGUAGCUGCAUGCAUACAAGGUUCAUGCUUUGAUGUUUAUGGCAGGAGAUCGGACGAUUUCCUGCACUCUUGAUGGAGACCUAUAAACUGGUGUCUCGAUUCUGCAAAAAAGAAGAUGUCUUUGGGAAGUUCUUGAAAUUUUUUAAGUGAUGAAAACGAAUCGAAGCUAUGUUCAAGGAAUUUUCAGCUCAAGAUCGGCAUGGCUGAUCCAUGCCUUGUGCCUUUCAAAGAGGUCUCUGAAUGCUUCUACAAACUUGCCGUGCACCUCUUUGACCUGCCAAAUGGAAUUUGAGAUCAUAAGUAGCAGUAUAAACCACAUGGUAGGUUUUAGAAUAAU